GCCUCUUUAGCUCAGUGGUAGAGCACUGGUCUUGUAAACCAGGGGUCGUGAGUUCAAUCCUCACAGGAUUGAACGCA